rnacentral:sRNA from 1 species
AGAGUCCCCUCCCCGGAGCGGAGCGCACCUGGGGUCCCUCUCCCGUCCCCCAAGCCCAGCCACCCAUUCAGACCAGCAGCCUCGGGGGGCACCCCCCCGCCAGCCUGCCUCCCUCCCGCUCAGCCCUGCCAGGGCCCCCCAGCCAUGAAUCUCUUCCGAUUCCUGGGAGACCUCUCCCACCUCCUCGCCAUCAUCUUGCUACUGCUCAAAAUCUGGAAGUCCCGCUCGUGCGCCGGAAUUUCAGGGAAGAGCCAGGUCCUGUUUGCUGUGGUGUUCACUGCCCGAUAUCUGGACCUCUUCACCAACUACAUCUCACUCUACAACACGUGUAUGAAGGUAGAGGCUCCAUCCCACCUCUCUGGCCCCCCCUGAGGCAGAGGAGCCGGGUGUAGGUCCCAGACUCCUAGGUCU